rnacentral:lncRNA from 1 species
UCAUCUGUUCUUCUCUCUUUCUCUCCCACCAAAAACCAAAAGCCUCUGAUGGCUCUUUCCUCCUAAUCUCUAUCUCACUGGCUAGUGUUUGUUCUGUUACUUCAGGCUACCUUGCUAAAUGACCAAAAUACCCUUUUCUUCUAGACCUUGUGAACAGAAACUUUAGUGUGUGGUGGGGGAUGUUUUGGUCACGUGAAUUGUUAGAGGGAAAAUAUCUUGGGGGUGGGUGUAGUCACUUUCAAGAUGUUGUGUGCAUAAUUGUCUCCAUCGUUUACUGUCUCAACUUUGAGGGGCCAGCUUUGGUUGUUUGAGCAUUCUAGUUUGAUUUGAUUUGCCAUUCACAUUUAUACAUAUUUAGUGUGGAAUUGUUGAUGUGUUUUCUCCAUCCUUAUUAUACACACAUUGAGCCGUGUGUAUCAUCAAGAAAGAUUGAUCUAAUCCUUAAAAAUUAGACUUAUGUUCCACAAAGAGAA